rnacentral:rRNA from 1 species
CGGACGGGUGAGUAAUGUCUGGGAAACUGCCCGAUGGAGGGGGAUAACUACUGGAAACGGUAGCUAAUACCGCAUAACGUCGCAAGACCAAAGAGGGGGACCUUCGGGCCUCUUGCCAUCGGAUGUGCCCAGAUGGGAUUAGCUAGUAGGUGGGGUAACGGCUCACCUAGGCGACGAUCCCUAGCUGGUCUGAGAGGAUGACCAGCCACACUGGACUGAGACACGGUCCAG